rnacentral:misc_RNA from 1 species
GUUGGUGAACCAGCGGAGGGAUCAUUACCGAGUUUACAACUCCCAAACCCAAUGUGAACCAUACCAAACUGUUGCCUCGGCGGGGUCACGCCCCGGGUGCGUCGCAGCCCCGGAACCAGGCGCCCGCCGGAGGGACCAACCAAACUCUUUCUGUAGUCCCCUCGCGGACGUUAUUUCUUACAGCUCUGAGCAAAAAUUCAAAAUGAAUCAAAACUUUCAACAACGGAUCUCUUGGUUCUGGCAUCGAUGA